rnacentral:rRNA from 1 species
GAUCAUGGCUCAGGACGAACGCUGGCGGCGCGCCUAACACACGCAAGUCGAACGGGGCUUACGGAUUCAGAAUCUUUCGGGAGGAAGAGCUGUAAGCCAAGUGGCGGACGGGUGAGUAACACGUGAGCAACCUGCCUUUGCGAGGGGGACAACAUCUGGAAACGGAUGCUAAUACCGCAUAAAGUCUAUAGAUCGCAUGAUUUAAAGACCAAAGAUUUAUCGCGCAAAGAUGGGCUCGCGU